rnacentral:ncRNA from 1 species
ACAAAGGUGAAGAGGAAGAGGAGUACAUUAUUACUUCCGCCAGAGAGAACCGCCCUCAGGCUGUAAGGCGGUUUCGGAAAAGGAUAGUGGAAGGUAGCUUUUGAACCGGAUAGCCGAAGAGCAUCUGAGGAUGGCUGAUAUGAUCAGCAGGCGGGAUGCGGGUAAGUUAUCCCGGAGUGGUCCACGUUACAGGACUUGAGAGAUAUAUUUCCCGGAGCGGAACAAUCACGCGGAAACCAGGGAAAUGUAUGAAAUAAGGUGGUACCGCGGAAUCUUCGCCCUUUAC